rnacentral:lncRNA from 1 species
UCAGGAACCAAGAUUUCAAUGUUCGGAUUGUCAGUAUAGAUGUAAAAGAGCAGCUAACGUUUACAAACACGUUAGAAUGAUGCACCGAGAAUCCGAAGUUUGUGCUAUAGAUCUUGUAACUAAUCGUGUUUUCCGACCAUUAGGUUAAUUAUUUAUUUAUUAUUAUUUUUUUUGUCCUUUAUUAUUAUUACACAAUCAUUAUCUAAUCAAAGCAGGUGGAAAAGUUUCGAGCUAGACGAUUGAAAAUAAUUUUCUUUUUUGUUUUACAUAUAGUAUUCGCGUGUAUAAAUUUAAAUAAGAUGAAUUUGGUUCUUGUUGAGGGCUAUCAAAAACCACUCCUCGUUGUAUCCAUCCACUCCUAGUGAUAAAAGGUACUUCGGUAAUUUUUUUUUUUACUAUGUUCUACAAUGAUAUUAAAAAUAGAACAUAGUAGGAUACUAAAAUGGAUGGGUGACCGACCCCACCUUUCCGACAAAAUAAAAUAAUAAAAGUUAUACGACUGGAAUUUGUAAAAGUGAGACUGUAAAAAUACAAGAACGUUAAAGUAAAA